AUUGAACGCUGGCGGCAGGCUUAACACAUGCAAGUCGAGCGGGGGAAGGUAGCUUGCUACCUAACCUAGCGGCGGACGGGUGAGUAAUGCUUAGGAAUCUGCCUAUUAGUGGAGGACAACAUUUCGAAAGGGAUGCUAAUACCGCAUACGCCCUAAGGGGGAAAGCAGGGGAUCUUCGGACCUUGCGCUAAUAGAUGAGCGUAAGUCGGAUUAGCUAGUUGGUGGGGUAAAGGCCUACCAAGGCGACGAUCUGUAGCGGGUCUGAGAGGAUGAUCCGCCACACUGGGACUGAGACACGGCCCAGACUUCUACGGGAGGCAGCAGUGGGGAAUAUUGGACAAUGGGGGGAACCCUGAUCCAGCCAUGCCGCGUGUGUGAAGAAGGCCUUUUGGUUGUAAAGCACUUUAAGCGAGGAGGAGGCUACCGAGAUUAAUACUCUUGGAUAGUGGACGUUACUCGCAGAAUAAGCACCGGCUAACUCUGUGCCAGCAGCCGCCGUAA
rnacentral:rRNA from 1 species